GUGAGGAAUAUUGCGCAAUGGAGGCAACUCUGACGCAGCCAUGCCGCGUGCAGGAAGAAGGCGCUACGCGUUGUAAACUGCUUUUAACCGGGAAGAAACCCCAGGACGUGUCCUGGGUUGACGGUACCGGAGGAAUAAGCACCGGCUAACUUCGUGCCAGCAGCCGCGGUAAUACGAAGGGUGCAAGCGUUAUCCGGAUUCAUUGGGUUUAAAGGGUGCGUAGGCGGAGCGUUAAGUCAGUGGUGAAAUCCUGCAGCUUAACUGUAGACUUGCCAUUGAUACUGGCGCUCUUGAGUGCGCUUGAAGUGGGCGGAAUGUGCCGUGUAGCGGUGAAAUGCUUAGAUAUGGCACAGAACACCAAUUGCGAAGGCAGCUCACUAAGGCGAUACUGACGCUGAGGCACGAAAGCGUGGAGAUCGAACAGGAUUAGAUACCCGUGUAGUCC
rnacentral:rRNA from 1 species